rnacentral:rRNA from 1 species
CGCCUGUUUAUCAAAAACAUCACCUCUAGCAUCACCAGUAUUAGAGGCACCGCCUGCCCAGUGACACAUGUUUCGCCUGUUUAUCAAAAACAUUUCUUUUUGGAGUAUAUAAAAAGUAAGACCUGCCCUAUGACAAUUAAAUGGCCGCAGUAAUAUGACUGUGCUAAGGUAGCAUAAUAAUUUGUCCUUUAAAUGAGGACUGGAAUGAAUGGUUCUAUGGAAAUAAAUUAAUGAUUUUAUUAUAAUAUGAAUUUAAUGUUUAAGUUAAAAUUCUUAAAUAAACCUAAAAGACGAGAAGACCCUGUGGAUCUUUACUACUUAGCACUUAUGGUUGUUAAAAAAUUAAGCUUAAAGGUAGUUUGAUUGGGACGAUUCUUCAUUUAACUGAAGUUAAUAAAAUUAUUUUUGAUCCUACUUAAGGAAAUAAGAUUAAGUUACCCCAGGGAUAACAGCGUUAUAUUACCGGAUAGUUCAUAUUGAUGGUAAUGUUUGCGACCUCGAUGUUGAAUUAAAAUUUCUUUGUGAAGCAGAAGUCACGAGAAGUUAGUCUGUUCGACUAUAAAAUUUUACAUGAUCUGAGUUCAAACCGGAUGGUGCAGCCGCUAUUAAAGGUUCGUUUGUUCAACGAUUAAAGUCCUACAUGAUCUGAGUUCAAA